AACGCAGCACACCCGAAGGUCAAACUGAAACGCAUCAACGCUAGGCGCGGCUGACCAGGCACAGGAUCUAGGCUUUCUUGAUCCUCAGCUCGUCGCCGGCGGACAUCGCAGGCGCCGGCUAUGCCACGCCCAUGCGCCUGUCCUGUUCGAGCCGCGGAGGGGAGCAGCCAGAGAAAGCCACGAAGAAACAGUAGCAGCAGCUGAAGGUGGACCAGGGCUCGCCGCCGGAGAGUAAGCGGGAGGUGCGGUUCGCGUCGCAGUUCGACGGCAUCAGCUGCUUCAAGUCCAUGAUCUCCUUCUGAGCAGCUGACCCUCCUGUCUAUGGAUAGUUAUUGAGCUUCAUGUUUAUUUUUGCUGGUUGCUUAAUUAGUGAUGAUGAGACAUGUAUUUAGCAAAAACAAAAGUGAUGAUGAAGCCUGUAGUAUGUACAGAGGAGGUGA
rnacentral:rRNA from 1 species